rnacentral:rRNA from 1 species
UACAGAGGCCUCGAGCGUUGCGCGGAAUCACUGGGCUUAAAGGGUGCGUAGGUGGUGAGGUAAGUCGGAUGUGAAAGCUCGGAGCUCAACUCCGAAAUGGCAUUGGAAACUACCUUGCUCGAGGGUUGGAGGGGGGACUGGAAUACUUGGUGUAGCAGUGAAAUGCGUAGAUAUCAAGUGGAACACCAGUGGCGAAGGCGAGUCCCUGGACAACUCCUGACACUGAGGCACGAAAGCUAGGGGAGCAAACAGG